rnacentral:rRNA from 1 species
CUUUACUGCAACUUGACAUUGGAUUCUGGCUGUAUUUGUGUAGGAUAGGUGGGAGACUUUGAAGCAGGGCCGCCAGGUCUUGCGGAGUCGUCGUUGAAAUACCACCCUGGUGCUGACGAGUUUCUAACCGUGUCCGUAAGCCGGACAUGAGACAGCGUCUGGUGGGCAGUUUGACUGGGGCGGUCGCCUCCUAAAAGGUAACGGAGGCAUUCAAAGGUCCCCUCAGCGUGGUCGGUAAUCACGCGCAGAGUGCAAACGCAUAAGGGGGCUUAACUGCGAGACCGACAGGUCGAGCAGGUACGAAAGUAGGAGUGAGUGAUCCCGCGGUUUAGCGUGGAAUUGCCGUUGCUCAAUGGAUAAAAGGUA